AGUGAACGCUGGCGGUAGGCCUAACACAUGCAAGUCGAACGGCAGCACAGUAAGAGCUUGCUCUUACGGGUGGCGAGUGGCGGACGGGUGAGGAAUACAUCGGAAUCUACUUUUUCGUGGGGGAUAACGUAGGGAAACUUACGCUAAUACCGCAUACGACCUACGGGUGAAAGCAGGGGAUCUUCGGACCUUGCGCGAUUGAAUUAGCCGAUGUCGGAUUAGCUAGUUGGCGGGGUAAAGGCCCACCAAGGCGACGAUCCGUAGCUGGUCUGAGAGGAUGAUCAGCCACACUGGAACUGAGACACGGUCCAGACUCCUACGGGAGGCAGCAGUGGGGAAUAUUGGACAAUGGGCGAAAGCCUGAUCCAGCCAUACCGCGUGGGUGAAGAAGGCCUUCGGGUUGUAAAGCCCUUUUGUUGGGAAAGAAAAGCAGCAGGUUAAUACCCCGCUGUUCUGACGGUACCCAAAGAAUAAGCACCGGCUAACUUCGUG
rnacentral:rRNA from 1 species